rnacentral:rRNA from 1 species
UACGAAGGGGGCUAGCGUUGUUCGGAAUUACUGAGCGUAAAGGGCGCGUAGGCUGUGCUGUAAGUCAGGCGUGAAAGCCCCGGGCUCAACCUGGGAAUUGCGCUUGAUACUGCGGCGCUGGAAGGUGGGAGAGGAUGGCGGAAUUCCCAGUGUAGAGGUGAAAUUCGUAGAUAUUGGGAAGAACACCGGUGGCGAAGGCGGCCAUCUGGCCCACAAUUGACGCUGAGGCGCGAAAGCGUGGGGAGCAAACAAG